ensembl:lncRNA novel transcript
GAGCCUUUGUUUGUUCUGAGGUUGGGCUGGUUUCUCCUCUUGGUCCUGCCCUACAGAUCAUAAAGGAGAACAGCAAGAGGUCCCCAGCAAACAUCCACAGAUGGCCUUGGAACCUCACCCUGCAGGAAUGCCAGUGAACAUACUGCUGACAUCUUGGAGCUCAGUACCCUCAUAGUGUAACGGCGUCAGUAGAUCUGCCUGUGCUUGGACUUCCUGUACUACCCAUUCCUGAGGGGCGAUGCUUCUGCAGGGCCUGUGACUUGGUGCACAACUUCAGACACCAUCAUCUUGCAGCAGCACCGCACCCUCACUAGCCAGGGUGUUGAUGACUUCCUCAAGGCCAAGGCCACAUUCAAGGCUUCGGACUUUAUUGAUGCGCUUGUGCUGAGCAAGGUGGCUUCUCCAGGAUCUUAAUUCAGGAGGUAGAAUGGAGCUUGAGAUCAAGUGUCUGAUCAAGCCUCAGUGUAUGGGCGCUGUUCAUCCUCUGGUGCUGAAGCAGCCAAGAGACCCAAGUCUGCCUGGCUGCCUCUUAGGAUAUGACAGCAGAGCCAGUGGCCUCUACUAGAUCCUGUACAACCUCACAAAACACCCAGACAUCGGGAGUGCUGCCAGCCUGUGAUGCAAGAGUCCUAAUCCUGAAGACAUUGAAUGACCUGUCAUUCUGCUGUUUUUACCAAAAAGGAUCAUGAGGAUCAGAGAGGAAAAGUCACUUGCCCAAAGUCACACAGCUGAACAGUGGUGGAGUUCAACUUUGACCAUGGGCUGUCUGGCCCCAAGGUGUAUGCUUGCUUCUCUCCCAAGAGACUCCUUUCUUAUCAGGCUCAAAUGAAUGAAAGGAGGAUGUUAAAGUUCCUAGAAGCUUUAAUUGAAUGAAAGUUCCUAGUAGAUCUGUACCUACUAAAAACCACACUUCUGAAGCUACGUGGCCACCAGAAGACACAGCUAGUCUGCCAUGUAAAAAAGGAAAGGUGGCGUGUGCCCUGAAGGCGCAGGGGUGAGAGGCAGGGAAAUGGAGACCCCAACAGCCAGCAUCAGUGGCCCUCAUCACAGCCCUCCAGGAGAUAUCAAAGGAGACAACGCCAUUAUUGACGAGAUCACUCCCAAGCGGAUUGGAGAUUGUCCCAAUACUUAGACCUAUAGCAAGGCCUUGGGAGAAAUGGUGGUGCAGCAGGAGAGCAGGAACCUAACCAUUGCCAUCCUAAGGCCCUCCAUUGUGCGGAGCAACGUCGCACCAGCUUUUCCUGGGUUGGGUUGAUAAUCUAAAUGGAUGUAGCUGACUCAUUAUUGCGGUAUGUAUAGGGAUGAGGAAGUAACUGUAAUGUAGUGGAGGAAUAGUAAGAAAAUUCUUAGUGCUGGCUUAGCUUCAUUGAUCCAAAAACAUAAAUGCUACUUUACUAUCAAUUGAAGCAUAUUAUUUCAAUUAUUCUGGUUAUAAUAUGGGGGCAGGAUGAAAUUGUUUUUAUUCUUUUAGAAUUUUUUUUAUCAGGAAAACAGAGGUAAAGUGCUAUCAAUUACUAUUUAAGAGUUCUAUUUUGAAAAGUGAGAAUUAAGGAUUUUUCUUUUCUUUUUAAAAAAAACUUUUUUAAAAAUUAAAAAUAAAAGAAGCAAAAGUCUUAGGAAAAUGAGGCAAGUAGCCCUGCCACUCUAUGUACAGUAAUAACAAUAUCUGUCCCAGUUAUUAUGUACAAUAUUAUAAAAAAUGUCGCAGACAGUACAAA